GACGAACGCUGGCGGCGUGCCUAAUACAUGCAAGUAGAACGGGUGGCGGACGGGUGAGUAAUGUCUGGGAAACUGCCCGCUGGUGGGGGAGAACUACUGGAACCGGUAGCUACUACCGCAUACCAUCGGAUGUGCCCAGAUGGGAGUAGCUAGUAGGUGGGGUAACGGCUCACCUAGGCGACGAUCCCUAGCUGGUCUGAGAGGAUGACCAGAAAAACUGGAACUGUGACACGGUCCAGACUCCUACGGGAGGCAGCAGUGGGGAAUAUUGCACAAUGGGCGAAAGCCUGAUGCAGCCAUGGCGCGUGCAUGAAGAAGGCGUUCGGGUUGUAAAGUACUUACAUCGCGGAGGCGUUACCAUAAGAAGAAGCACCGGCUAACUCCGUGCCAGCAGCCGCGCUAAUAC
rnacentral:rRNA from 1 species